rnacentral:rRNA from 1 species
AACGAACGUUGGCGGCGUGGAUUAGGCAUGCAAGUCGAGCGGGAUUCUAUUUUUUCAAUUCUUCGGAAGAGAAGUUUUAGAUGAGAGCGGCGAACGGGUGAGUAAUAUAUGGGUAAUUUGCCUCUUUGUUCGGGAUAGCCAUCGGAAACGAUGAUUAAUACCGAAUGUGAUCGGUCACUGCAUAGUGACUUCUUUAAAGGCGGGGAAUCUUCGGAUCCUGUCGCAAAGAGAUAAGCCCAUAUCCUAUCAGCUUGUUGGUGAGGUAACGGCUCACCAAGGCUUACGGGUAGCUGGUCUGAGAGGAUGAUCAGCCACACUGGAACUGAGACACGGUCCAG